AGUGAACGCUGGCGGCAGGCCUAACACAUGCAAGUCGAGCGGCAGCGGGUCGUAGCAAUACGAUGCCGGCGAGCGGCGGACGGGUGAGGAAUACAUCGGAAUCUACCCAGUCGUGGGGGAUAACGUAGGGAAACUUACGCUAAUACCGCAUACGACCUGAGGGUGAAAGCAGGGGACCGCAAGGCCUUGCGCGAUUGGAUGAGCCGAUGUCGGAUUAGCUAGUUGGUGAGGUAAAGGCUCACCAAGGCGACGAUCCGUAGCUGGUCUGGGAGGAUGAUCAGCCACACUGGAACUGAGACACGGUCCAGACUCCUACGGGAGGCAGCGGUGGGGAAUAUUGGACAAUGGGCGCAAGCCUGAUCCAGCCAUGCCGCGUGUGUGAAGAAGGCCUUCGGGUUGUAAAGCACUUUUGUCCGGGAAGAAAUCUUCCGACCUAAUACGUCGGGAGGAUGACGGUACCGGAAGAAUAAGCACCGGCUAACUUCGUGCCAGCAGCCGCCGUAA
rnacentral:rRNA from 1 species